rnacentral:rRNA from 1 species
AUUGAACGCUGGCGGCAGGCCUAACACAUGCAAGUCGAGCGGGGUUUUCGGACCUAGCGGCGGACGGGUGAGUAAUGCGUAGGAAGCUACCCGAUAGAGGGGGAUACCAGUUGGAAACGACUGUUAAUACCGCAUAAUGUCUACGGACCAAAGUGUGGGACCUUCGGGCCACAUGCUAUCGGAUGCGCCUACGUGGGAUUAGCUAGUUGGUGGGGUAAUGGCUCACCAAGGCGACGAUCCCUAGCUGGUUUGAGAGGAUGAUCAGCCACACUGGAACUGAGACACGGUCCAGACUCAUACGGGAGGCAGCAGUGGGGAAUAUUGGACAAUGGGCGCAAGCCUGAUCCAGCCAUGCCGCGUGUGUGAAGAAGGCCUUCGGGUUGUAAAGCACUUUCAGUAGGGAGGAAGGGUGUUGUGUUAAUAGCACAGCAUUUUGACGCUACCUACAGAAGAAGCACCGGCUAACUCUGUGCCAGCCGCCGCCGUAACAC